UGCUAUUGUGGGCUGCAUCAGGAGUGGGCAGGAGGAGGAGUAUAGAAACCUAAUCAAGGACUUUGUUAAAUGGUGCGACUCAAACCACCUACAACUGAACACCAGCAAAACCAAGGAGCUGGUGGUGGAUUUUAGGAGGCCCAGACCCCACAUGGACCCCGUGAUCAUCAGAGGUGACUGUGUACAGAGGGUGCAGACCUAUAAACACCUGGGAGUGCAGCUGGAUGAUAAACUGGACUGGACUGCCAAUACUGAUGCUCUGUGUAAGAGAGGACAGAGCCGACUAUACUUCCUUAGAAGGCUGGCGUCCUUCAACAUCUGCAAUAAGAUGCUGCAGAUGUUCUAUCAGACGGUUGUGGUGAGCGCCCUCUUCUACGUUGUGGUGUGCUGGGGGAGGCAGCAUAAAGAAGAGGGACGCCUCACGCUUGGACAAACUGGUGAGGAAGGCAGGCUCUAUUGUAGGCACGGAGCUGGACAUUUAACAUCCGUGGCAGAGCGACGGGCGCUGAGCAGACUCCUGUCAAUCAUGGAGAAUCCACUG